rnacentral:rRNA from 1 species
UACGAAGGGGGCUAGUGUGCGGAAUCACUGGGCGUAAAGGGUGCGUAGGCGGGUCUUUAAGUCAGGGGUGAAAUCCUGGAGCUCAACUCCAGAACUGCCUUUGAUACUGAAGAUCUUGAGUUCGGGAGAGGUGAGUGGAACUGCGAGUGUAGAGGUGAAAUUCGUAGAUAUUCGCAAGAACACCAGUGGCGAAGGCGGCUCACUGGCCCGAUACUGACGCUGAGGCACGAAAGCGUGGGGAGCAAACAGG